rnacentral:rRNA from 1 species
AUUGAACGCUGGCGGCAGGCUUAACACAUGCAAGUCGAGCGGAGAGAAGUAGCUUGCUACUGAUCUUAGCGGCGGACGGGUGAGUAAUGCUUAGGAAUCUGCCUAUUAGUGGGGGACAACAUUUCGAAAGGAAUGCUAAUACCUCAUACGUCCUACGGGAGAAAGCAGGGGAUCUUCGGACCUUGCGCUAAUAGAUGAGCAUAAGUCGGAUUAGCUAGUUGGUGGGGGAAAGGCCUACCAGGGCGACGAUCUGUAGCGGGUCUGAGAGGAUGAUCCGCCACACUGGGACUAAGACACGGCCCAGACGCCUACGGGAGGCAGCAGUGGGGAAUAUUGGACAAUGGGCGGAAGCCUGAUCCAGCCAUGCCGCGUGUGUGAAGAAGGCCUUAUGGUUGUAAAGCACUUUAAGCGAGGAGGAGGCUACUUUAGUUAAUACCUAGAGAUAGUGGACGUUACUCGCAGAAUAAGCACCGGCUAACUCUGUGCCAGCCGCCGCAGUAACAC